rnacentral:tRNA from 1 species
UGGAAUAUAGUUAAAUUAUAACAUUUAUUUUGCAUUUAAAAAUUAAUUUUAUUAAAAAUUUUAUUCUAA